CUGACCUUCAGAACCCAGUUUGAAAUUGCAUUGUCCUGUUGUACGGGGAAGAAAUUUCUCUGGAAAUGGUAAACAAACCAUUUAAGGGGUGGGGGUGAGAGGUGGGACAACUGUGCCUCAAAAUCAACCUUUUCUAUUAAAUUCCUGCUGUCCUCACACAGACUCACCAUUCUGACUUCUGCUCUUCCCAUAGUGGAUGUGCCUUGCAUGCAGAAAACUUAGAGUCUUCAUUAGCUGGAGAGUUGGCCUAAAUGAAGGGAGUGGAGUAGGGUGUGUGUGUGCAUGCAUACACAUGUAUUUGUCAUAGCGCAGUUCAUACUGUUUUCUCUGUUGCCUUAGAGUCAUAUUGUCAUCAAGCUCAUUUACUGUGCUGGGUACAGUACAGAGGUUUCAUCAGCUCUUCAAGAUGUUUAGUAAAAGUCUGUCUUCUUUUUUAAUCUGGAUGUUUGGCAGAUCUUACGACAUAGAGUUACUAUGUGGGAAAGCAACAGUUCUUGGUUAUUCAGAAGCUUUGUUGCUAAAGUGCUGAUUUAGCACACUAAGGAAUAGCUGAAUAAAGAAAAGAAAAUCGGGUAAGGGAUGAGACAGGUACUAAUCACUUUCUGGCAGUAUCUAAAGAACUUUUGUGAUCCUAAGUAAACUUCCAUCACAUCCAUAUUUCCCUUCAUGCAGGUGCUCAGUUUUCAGCUUCUAUAUAGCCCUGCUCUACCUAUGGAGCACUCUAAUGGUUUUCUCUGGUAUAUUGGUUGCUUUCCCAAGGUCCAGCAGGCAUCUCAAGCAGUUAAAAAAAAAGUGUAACUACUCAUAUAACCCUCAUAUAACCUCUCUUGCUCCUUGAUGUAAUUAUAUUUAAUUAGCUCUUCCUUAAGAACCUUCACAGCAUUAAAGAUUAUUUGGUUUGCAUUCCGUGGUUUGUAUGACCUUGUCGCUGUUUGUUUAUCUCUCCUUGCCAAUGCUUACGUCUCUUAUGUCCUUUCUUCUCUGGUACUGAUGACAGGAUACAUUUUUUUUUCCAGAGUUGCCAAAAUACUUUCUACUUCAUCAUUCCAGCUGUCAAAUUGUCUGGAAGAAAUAUUCCUGUCAUUAUGCCUACCAAAAUGGUGAAUAAUAUGGGCAAAGACAAAAGACCUUUUAAUCCUCCCAUAUGGUAGAGACAUCAUCAACAGCAUUAACAAUACGCUGAAGUAAUUGUAGUGCAGAAAGUUUCCACUUCCAUUUUCAUGUACCUUUGUCAUUAUUCAAAAGUAAAUAAUUUAAAAAUGGGAGAAGAAAGAAUACUUCUUUAAUCCCUCAGAAUUUCUGGAAAUUUUUCCUCACUAAUAUCAACAGCAUCUCAUGGUUUUCAGUAGCGCAGGCGAGAACCAGACCUAAUAUGCUUUGAAAAAAAAUUAUGCAUAUAUGUGUUUUGUAUUUAAUCUAGAAUUUACAAGGUUAAUUGUAUUAGUCUUUUAUGGAAGACUGUCUGGAGCAGCUGUCCUUUCUGUGCAAGGAUUACAGGUUACACUAUUACAUGUACAUCAAUCCUGCUUCCAUUGCUGGAAGGUACAGCCUGGUCUACAGGACCAGUCUAUUAUUUUAGAUGUCUAAUUUUAACAGAAUAAUGUAAGGGUUAACACACAAAUUCAUGCUGUUUUAAUGGAAAAAAAUGCAUUAGAUUCCUGUUGUAUUCCCCACAGCUAGAUUUCCUUGGGAAAAGGUAGACAACAAUGGUACAUUGUUAGAAGAAACCCAAAAUGUUUUUAAGAUGGAGGUUGAUAAGUUUAUGGAUGGGGAUCAAAAAACCAGAUAAGAAUGACCCUGAAGUUAGAAUUCAAACUUGAAAUAACUGUUCUUUUGUAUCCAAUUUAUUAGUAGGGCUGGUACCCAAAUGCAUGUUAGAGAGGAGAUUCUGUGUGUUUGCAAGGCUUUAGCCUUCCAUUACAGGACUUCUGUUGCUUAGCUAUGGGAGUUGGGCAGAGGGUGGUGAGCUUAGUGCCUGGCAAGAUACACAGCUGUUGCUUCUGGUGUGAGAAGGUCUUGAAACAUCUUAGAAACAUUUGGUCAAUUUACUUCCAAUUCUUACUACUGUAACGAUGUUGGGAAAUGAUCACUCUUGCUUUCUUCUUGUGGUACAUCAGAGGUACAGCUUUUGUCCUUUGUGUUUCAGGUCUACAGGCACCUGGGAUGUGUUCAUGCAAUAGUUCUAUGGCUCUUUUAGGAUGAACUAUCUGUUGUGGCAAUUCUUGGAUUGCCUGGGACAUUAUUCAGUGACCCAAGUAGUCUCUUUCAGUCCUCUGUUGCUCUGUUCUAGACUGUGAUAAGAUCUGAACCCAGAGAAUGAGAAGCAGUGCUUGUAGGGUUGGAAGGCUGGCCAUUUGAACUGCUUCAGACUCUUCUUUCUUGUCCAAAUAAAAGAUUUUUUGAGAAAUCUCAA